rnacentral:rRNA from 1 species
CCUACGGGCGGCUGCAGUGAGGAAUAUUGGUCAAUGGACGAGAGUCUGAACCAGCCAAGUAGCGUGAAGGAUGACUGCCCUAUGGGUUGUAAACUUCUUUUAUAAAGGAAUAAAACGAGGCACGUGUGCCUUUUUGCAUGUACUUUAUGAAUAAGGAUCGGCUAACUCCGUGCCAGCAGCCGCGGUAAUACGGAGGAUCCGAGCGUUAUCCGGAUUUAUUGGGUUUAAGGGGAGCGUAGAUGGGUUGUUAAGUCAGUUGUGAAAGUUUGCGGCUCAACCGUAAAAUUGCAAUUGAUACUGGAAGUCUUGAGUACAGUUGAGGUAGGCGGAAUUCGUGGUGUAGCGGUGAAAUGCUUAGAUAUCACGAAGAACCCCGAUUGCGAAGGCAGCUUACUAAACUGUGACUGACAUUGAUGCUCGAAAGUGUGGGUAUCAAACAGGAUUAGAUACCCCUGUAGUC